GACGAACCGGACAAACGUUAUUCGGAAUUAUUGGGCUUAAAGGGUGCGUAGGCGGUGCGGUAAGUUGGGUGUGAAAUCCCUCGGCUCAACCGAGGAAUUGCGCCCAAUACUGCCGUGCUCGAGGGAGACAGAGGUGAGCGGAACUGAUGGCGGAGCGGUGAAAUGCGUUGAUAUCAUCAGGAACACCGGUGGCGAAAGCGGCUCGCUGGGUCUCUACUGACGCUGAGGCACGAAAGCUAGGGUAGCGAACAGG
rnacentral:rRNA from 1 species